rnacentral:rRNA from 1 species
AUUGAACGCUGGCGGCAUGCCUUACACAUGCAAGUCGAGCGGCAGCGCGGGGGCAACCCUGGCGGCGAGCGGCGCACGGGUGAGUAAUACAUCGGAACGUGUCCUUUCGUGGGGGAUAACCAGUCGAAAGACUGGCCAAUACCGCAUGAGAUCUCACGAUGAAAGCGGGGGACCGCAAGGCCUCGCGCGAUUGGAGCGGCCGAUGUCGGAUUAGCUAGUGGCGGGGUAAAAGCCCACCAAGGCGACGAUCCGUAGCUGGUUUGAGAGAACGACCAGCCACACUGGGACUGAGACACGGCCCAGACUCCUACGGGAGGCAGCAGUGGGGAAUUUUGGACAAUGGGGGCAACCCUGAUCCAGCCAUGCCGCGUGUGUGAAGAAGGCCU